GGGGAUGCAAUGGUUUCGACGGGGGUUUUGAAAACGAGGAUAGCCAUUCGCACUAGGUAGUUGCGUCAAAAUGCCUAAAAUUUUUAAAAAAGAAACGACAAAGAUUAUUCUUUAAUGGCAGCCUAAGUCGCUGCCCGUCGGCCUUCGAUUGCUCACAGUUGAAGUCACCGGCGUCGAACUUGUGAGGCACUUUCCCUCCUAAGCUUUGCGGAGGGGAAAGAAAUAUGAAGCUACCAAAGGUAAAAGCCUGUUGUUCGGCGGUUACUUGAGGGAAUUUUAAAAGAGCAACUGUAAUGGGAGAAGUUUUCGUGGAGAGGCCUUCGGACAGGAGUUCGAUUCUCCUCAUCUCCAU
rnacentral:tmRNA from 1 species